GACGAACGCUGGCGGCGUGCCUAAUACAUGCAAGUAGAACGCUGAAGAGAGGAGCUUGCUCUUCUUGGAUGAGUCGCGCACGGGUGAGUAACGCGUAGGUAACCUGCCUGGUAGCGGGGGAUAACUAUUGGAAACGAUAGCUAAUACCGCAUAAAAUUGAUUAUUGCAUGAUAGUUAAUUGAAAGAUGCAACUGCAUCACUACCAGAUGGACCUGCGUUGUAUUAGCUAGUUGGUGAGGUAACGGCUCACGAAGGCGACGAUACAUAGCCGACCUGAGAGGGUGAUCAGCCACACUGGGACUGAGACACGGCCCAGACUCACUCGGGAGGCGGCAGGAGGGAUACUUGGGCAAGGGGGGGAACCCUGACCGAGCAACGCCGCGGGAGGGAAGAAGGUUGUCGGAUCGGAAAGCACUGUUGUAAGGGAAGAACGGGUGUGAGAGUGGAAAGUUCACACUGUGACGGUAUCUGACCAGAAAGGGACGGCUAACUACGUG
rnacentral:rRNA from 1 species